rnacentral:rRNA from 1 species
CCUACGGGAGGCAGCAGUGAGGAAUAUUGGUCAAUGGACGAGAGUCUGAACCAGCCAAGUAGCGUGAAGGAUGACUGCCCUAUGGGUUGUAAACUUCUUUUAUAUGGGAAUAAAAUGCUCUACGUGUGGGAUUUUGUAUGUACCAUAUGAAUAAGGAUCGGCUAACUCCGUGCCAGCAGCCGCGGUAAUACGGAGGGUCCGAGCGUUAUCCGGAUUUAUUGGGUGUAAAGGGAGCGUAGGUGGAAUGUUAAGCCAGAUGUGAAAGUUUGCGGCUCAACCGUAGAAUUGCAGUUGAAACUGGCAGGCUUGAGUACAGGAGAGGUGGGCGGAAUUCGUGGUGUAGCGGUGAAAUGCUUAGAUAUCACGAAGAACCCCGAUUGCGAAGGCAGUUCGCUGGAACGCAACUGACGCUGAGGCUCGAAAGUGUGGGUAUCAAACAGGAUUAGAUACCCGAGUAGUC